CGCGGGAUUGGUGUGUCCUUUUAAUAGAAGAAAAUGGAAACUGAACAGCCAGAGGAAACCUUCCCCAACACUGAGACUAAUGGUGAAUUUGGUAAACGCCCUGCAGAAGAUAUGGAAGAGGAACAAGCAUUUAAAAUAUCUAGAAACACUGAUGAGAUGGUUGAAUUGCGCAUUCUGCUUCAGAGCAAGAAUGCUGGAGCAGUGAUUGGAAAAGGAGGCAAGAAUAUUAAGGCUCUCCGUACAGACCACAAUGCCAAUGUUUCAGUCCCAGACAGCAGUGGCCCCGAGCAGAUAUUGAGUAUCAGUGCUGAUAUUGAAACAAUUGGAGAAAUUCUGAAGAAAAUCAUCCCUACCUUGGAAGAGGGCCUGCAUUGCCAUCACCCACUGCAACCAGCCAGCUCCCGCUCGAAUCUGAUGCUGUGGGAUGCUUAAAUUACCAACACUAUAAAGGAAGUGACUUUGACUGCGAGUUGAUUCAUCAGAGUCUGGCAGGAGGAAUUAUUGGGGUCAAAGGUGCUAAAAUUAAAGAACUUCGAGAGAACACUCAGACAACAAUCAAGCUUUUCCAGGAAUGCUGUCCUCAUUCCACUGACAGAGUUGUUCUUAUUGGAGGAAAGCCUGAUAGGGUUGUAGAGUGCAUAAAGAUCAUCCUUGAUCUUAGAUCCGAGUCUCCCAUCAAAGGACGUGCACAACCUUAUGAUCCCAAUUUUUAUGAUGAAACCUAUGACUAUGGUGGUUUUACAAUGAUAUUCGAUGACCGCCAUGGACGUCCAGUGGGAUUUCCCAUGCGGGGAAGAGGUGGUUUUGACAGAAUGCCUCCUGGUCGGGGUGGGCGUCCUAUGCCUCUUUCUAGAAGAGAUUAUGAUGAUAUGAGCCCUCGUCGAGGACCACCACCACCUCCUCCUGGACGAGGUGGCCGGGGUGGUAGCACGGCAUCUUCCUCUUCCUCCACCACCACCACCUAGAGGAGGAGAUCUAAUGGCCUAUGACAGAAGAGGAAGACCGGGAGACCGUUACGAUGGCAUGGUUGGUUUCAGUGCUGACGAAACUUGGGACUCUGCAAUAGAUACUUGGAGCCCGUCAGAAUGGCAGAUGGCUUAUGAACCACAGGGUGGCUCUGGAUAUGAUUAUUCCUAUGCAGGGGGUCGUGGCUCAUAUGGUGAUCUUGGUGGACCUAUUAUUACUACUCAAGUAACUAUUCCCAAAGAUUUGGCUGGAUCUAUUAUUGGCAAAGGUGGUCAGCGGAUUAAACAAAUCCGUCAUGAGUCGGGAGCUUUGAUCAAAAUUGAUGAGCCUUUAGAAGGAUCCGAAGAUCGGAUCAUUACAAUGACAGGAACACAGGACCAGAUACAGAAUGCAGAGUAUUUGCCGCAGAACAGUGUGAAGCAGUAUUCUGGAAAGUUUUUCUAAGACUAGUAAAGAACUGAAGGAGUCCUGCAUCUUUUUUUUUUUUUUUUUUU